GACAGAGACCCCUUUUAAUUGCUUCGCUGAAUUUACCAUCUGAUAUCUGAUAUGAUGUAUUUGAGAUGACCAAUCUAUCAAGAAAUUAGAGAAGAAUAAAGAGACUUUUCAGAGCAAUUUUCUUAUCUCAUUCCAAAAUCAAAGGCAUGCAACUAAUCCACUAAGAGCAUGUGUAGUGAUAAGGUAUUAAUACAUGAUGAUAUUCAAGCUUCACAUAGGAAUGGACUUGGGCCUUAGUUUGCUUUUAAAUUAAAAAAAAAACAGUUACUUGUACUCUUUUGUGUUUGUAAAACAAAUUAAUCAAUAUAAUGAAACUUUAGUAUCA
rnacentral:lncRNA from 1 species